rnacentral:tRNA from 1 species
ACCUUUAGCUCAGCUGGUCAGAGCACUCGGCUCAUAACCGAUUGGUCGUAGGUUCAAGUCCUACAAGGUCC